rfam:Limnoraphis robusta CS-951 contig242, whole genome shotgun sequence.
GUAAGCAACCCCGCUCUGAAGAGACGGGGCUUCAGCUAAGAAAUUAGUCGAAGCCGUGCUUACCAGCCUAAGACUUAGUUGUCUACGUUAUCGGCAAGUGUUGAAGUUCCUACCAAGGGAUGCGUAGCUAGUCCCUUGCUCUAGAACCAAAAAGUUAAACAGUUUUAAGGUCACUGAAACAGUGCUUUUUGGAUAGUUACCGACCGAUAACAUUGGCGAAGCUAACGUUAC